GUGCCUUAAACUAAUGAGUAAGGAAAAUAUACGAGCCUUGGUAACGCUUGGCUUACAUGCUAGCUACCUAGCCGUUUAAUUUUUGUAGGGGUACAGGUCGUCCUGUGAAUGCCUGCCUACUUUUCGCAAGUGUUCCGGUGAAGCGAUUUGCCCC